rnacentral:rRNA from 1 species
CAGUCGCCGCGGUAAGACAGAGGAUGCAAGCGUUAUCCGGAAUGAUUGGGCGUAAAGCGUCUGUAGGUGGCUUUUCAAGUCCGCUGUCAAAUCCCAGGGCUCAACCCUGGACAGGCGGUGGAAACUACCAAGCUGGAGUACGGUGGGGGCAGAGGGAAUUUCCAGUGGAGUGGUGAAAUGCGUUGAGAUCGGAAAGAACACCAACGGCGAAAGCACUCUGCUGGGCCGACACUGACACUGAGAGACGAAAGCUAGGGGAGCAAAUGGGAUUAGAUACCCCAGUAGUCCCUGUCUCUUAUAC